AUUAGAUCAUGGAAACGAGAAAUAAAGAAAAAUAAGUCUAAUUUUCACGCCUUCUAUUUAUGUUCGAACUGCCUCAAAAACUUUGUAAUUAUUAAAGACACGUAUAAAAUUCCUCUGAUAACUUACGAUUCCACCAAAUUUUACUCCUUGAUAAUUCCUGUUCGUUCUGUAUCAAAAUCAGGCCGUAUCAAUCUGUCAAAAGUGAGAUUGGCUAUCACAGACACACAGAGUUACGGUACUAAGAACGGAAAAGGUAACUUUGUAACUAAAGAAGCAAUACGUAGUUACAAGAAGAGCAAAAAUACAACUCAGGUAAAAAUUGGUACUUUACCAAUCAAUAUACGCGCAAAAGGUGUAGAAGUAAAGUGCUGUGGUACGAAGUACAAAUCAAGACAAUUUAAGAAGUAUACUAAUAGUAUAAUUUUCUCCGACUUAUUCCAUCGCAAGGCAAAACACAUACGAUUGAAAUUAUAUCUAGACAACCUGAUAUUGCAAAAUGCUGAACUGGUACUGAAUAACAUCCUUUGGUACACAUUGCCUGCUGCUACAUUUGUGGAACUCAUCAG